CUGAGAUAGGGUCCCUUGGGGCCCGACCUCCAACCCUUUGUCUACCUUACCACUGUUGCCUCGGCGGGUCGUCGGCGCCCUCGCGGGCGUCGCCGUUGGCCUCUGUGCUCUCGAGUGCCCGCCGCCAGGCCCCACAAACCCUUUGUGAAUCAGCCCUCUGAGAGUAUAUUCAAUACUUA
rnacentral:misc_RNA from 1 species